UACAGACCGUCAUAACCUCGGGAAACUGAGGCCAAUAGCGGAUAUUACUCUCAGGCUGGAGUGCCGAGAGGUAGAAACGUUCCGGCGCUGUAGGAUGUGGCUGCGGCCGAUAAGGUAGAUGGUGGGGUACGGCCCACCAUGCCGAUAAUCCGG
rnacentral:rRNA from 1 species